CCCAGUUCGGAUCGCAGCCUGCAACCCGGCUGCGUGAAGCUGGAAUCGCUAGUAAUCGCGGAUCAGAAUGCCGCGGUGAAUACGUUCCCGGGUCUUGUACACACCGCCCGUCACACCAUGGGAGCCGGAAACGCCCGAAGCCAGCGGCCCAACCGCGAGGAGGGAGCUGUCGAAGGCGGGUCCGGUGACCGGGGUGAAGUCGUAACAAGGUAUC
rnacentral:rRNA from 1 species